ACGGGGUGCUGGCGGUUCAGCCGGCUGAGAACGCGCACAGGCGCAACACCCAUGAACCUGAUCUGGGUAAUGCCAGCGUAGGGACGGGCUA
rnacentral:ncRNA from 1 species